rnacentral:rRNA from 1 species
UACGUAGGGGGCAAGCGUUGUCCGGAUUUAUUGGGCGUAAAGAGCGUGUAGGCGGCUAGGUAGGUCCGUUGUGAAAACUCGAGGCUCAACCUCGAGACGUCGAUGGAAACCAUCUAGCUAGAGUCCGGAAGAGGCAAGUGGAAUUCCCGGUGUAGCGGUGAAAUGCGCAGAUAUCGGGAGGAACACCUAUGGCGAAGGCAGCUUGCUGGGACGGUACUGACGCUGAGACGCGAAAGCGUGGGGAGCAAACAGG